UACGUAGGGGGCUAGCGUUGUCCGGAAUCAUUGGGCGUAAAGAGCGUGUAGGCGGCUCGGUAAGUCCGCUCUGAAAGCCCGGGGCUCAACCCCGGGAGGCGGGCGGAUACUGUCGGGCUAGAGUCCGGAAGAGGCGAGUGGAAUUCCUGGUGUAGCGGUGAAAUGCGCAGAUAUCAGGAGGAACACCAAUAGCGAAGGCAGCGCGCUGGGACGGUACUGACGCUGAGACGCGAAAGCGUGGGGAGCAAACAGG
rnacentral:rRNA from 1 species